rnacentral:rRNA from 1 species
AUGGCGCAAAUGGAGCAGCGAGGAUCAACGAACAUGACCAAGGCGCUGGAAGCUCUUUCGCCGUGGCUCGAAAACCCACGGAGCAUAGUCAAUCAAGUGGAGGCGGUAGUCCUCGCCGCGGCUGUGCUCCUCCUCUUCCAGCUCAUCCUCUGUUCCUGCAGAUGGCAGUCGAGCAACGCUUUUAUCCAGGCCGGCGCGUGGGUGUCCUACACCAUGUCGUUCCCUUUGGUCACCUACACAUUGGGCAUGAGGCAGACUUCCCCGGUGAAGAAUGUCCUGUAUCCUGUCUGGGCUGUCUCUUUGUUCAUGGUUGCUGGAUGCACCAACGCCGUCACGUCCUAUGAUCUUGACGACAACAAGCAGUGGAAGAAGCAUCUCUUCGAGGUCUUUCAGUAUGCCCUCUACUCAGCAAUUAACAUCAAGCUGCUUUUCCCUUACAGCACUGCAGAAGUAUUUAAUCUGAAGGCCAAAUCUUUCAAGUCUAUGUCCAUCACCCCUGUUAUCGUGAUCCUCAACUUGAUUGUGCUGCUCACAAAUUUUGUCAAAGUUAUCUUGUGUUGGAGGGUAGGCGUUGACUUCUCCAGCAAACGAGUUGCUGAGUUCAUGAGGAAGCAGGCCAGGGAGGACCGUCCUAGUGUGUUCAACCCUGUCGCCAUGGAAGGCUACAGGUACCCUAUUCGAUGUGGUAGACACAAAUCGAUCACCAUCGACGAGGUUUGGAAAUUGGACAGCACGCUUUUCAGGUCAGGUGCUUCCACCAAGCUGAAAGAUUCUUGCCUAUCAUAUGCCCUGUUUAAGCUCUUGAGGCGGCAGUACCAUGGGAUGGAGUGUGCUGAAGCCGGCCUUCCCGAAACCCGUGAUUUUGUCUUGAAGGGUUUGCUGUUGACAGAAGACGACCAUCAGAUUGAAAUGGCGUUCAGGAUUGUGGAGGUAGAACUUGGUUUCUAUCAUGACUACCUCUUCACCAAAUACAAUAUCAUCCGUAAGCGGGAGAAACUGUUCUUCGCAAUGUUGCUUGUGAGGAUACUUCUUAUAUCUAUUGUUUUACACUAUGUCACCCGGAAUUCAUUGGCUGUCAUGACAACAGCUGCUAUAAUUGAGGUGCAGACCAAGACUGUUGAUACUAUCAUUACUGUACUUAUUCUCACCAUUAUUCUCAUGGUUGAAGUUCUGCAAGCCGCAUUUUACCUGGCAUCAGACUGGGCCAAAGUGACACUUACCAAAAAAUAUUUAAGUAACCAUUGUUACCGGGGCAAUGCUUGUUUGGAGAAGAUUAUUGUUUUCAUCAGCAAGGUCACCAUGUUCAGAUAUUGGGCAAAUCAAAUUGGACAAAGUUCAGUGAUUUCAGACAACAAAUAUUUUGCCAGACACCUGCAGUAUGUCAUAGAAAGCCCUCCACACUCACUUGCGAUGUUGUUCAGUAGCUUCAGUCUUGGCAAAAGGACAACCCGUGUGAGCAUAUGCAGCCCCGUCAAGAGAGCCAUCGCUAGGUCCAUUAAAAUGAGUAAAGAUCCUCUAACAAACGGCAAGUCAUCACUAGACCACAAUGGAGUGCUGCGAGGAUUCUCCUGGGCACUGAAUGGACAAACUCAGACAGAGAUCAUGCUAAUUUGGCACAUUGCGACUGAGUACUGCAACAUUGCUCAGCCUAAUACCACGGAAACAGGUGAGGUGCAAGACAUGAAGUGCCACCGUGAAGUUGCAGUCAGGUUGUCAAGAUACUGCGCAUACUUGAUAGAUUCAGCCCCCGAACUGCUUUCAGACUACAUGGAUACUGAGAUUCCCAUAGCUAAGAUGAUGCAAGAUAUGCGCAAAGUUAUGGGAGAAUGUACAUCCAUUCAUGCGAAAUUUGAGGUAAUGAAGCAUUUAGAAGAGCAGGAUGAUGAGGCCAUGUUCCGGCGAGGCGUCAAGCUGGGGAGGCAGCUUGACUGCUUGGAUGCUGCUCUGCGAUGGAAGGUGCUGGAGGAAUUCUGGUCGGAGACCAUCGUCUAUGUUGCACCGUCAGAGAAUGUCAAUGGGCACUUGGAGCGCCUUGCGAAAGGCGGAGAGUUCCUAACCCACAUCUGGGCUCUGCUAUCUCACGCUGGCAUCCGGGCGAUAAACAGGGAGCAAGCUAAGCAUCCAUCCCAAGAAAAUGUGUGA